rnacentral:lncRNA from 1 species
GUGAGUGCUGUCUGGGGUGGGGAGGGGGCUGCCCCCCUCUCAGCCAGCCGAGGUGGCCGGAGCAGGGCCAGGAGCUGCGCGAGGCGCAGGGAGCCUCGGCACCGCCGGAAUCGGCUCAAUGUCAGGAAUUUCCUGCCGGGGAGAGGAAUCCAUGAAAUUAAUGUGAAAGGCCGAAAAAAAAAAAAAAGGAAAAAAAGAAAAAGAGAUCAUCCUGACCCUGAAUCAGGCCCUGGGCCGCACAGGGAGGGCGAAGGCAGCGGGUUCUGCCCUGCACCAGGGGCUGUUCCAGCAGGGAGAUCGGGGAGGGGUCUGGGGGCUCUGGGGGGUUCCAGACCCCAGGGGCAGCUGUGCCUGACGUGGCUCUGCUCUGCUGUCCCAUUGCAGAGAGGACGGGGAAGGUGCUGGGCGAGUUCUGCCGCUGCUACAGGGAGCAGUUUGGGGUGGCUCUGUUCAACAGCGUGCGCUACGAGAUCGAGGGCGCGGGGGGCCCGCAGGCACAGCUGCUGCACCGCAAGGUGCCACUGGAGGACCACGUCAUCUACUCAGGCAACAUCUUCCAGUACAUUGAGGAGAACAAGAAGUGGAGGAAUCGCUUCUGCGUGGUGCCGCACAACUAUGGGCUGGUGCUCUACGAGAACAAACUGGUGAGGACACCCCCCUUCCACCCAGCUCCAGUGGGGUCACUGCCCCCCCAGGGACACCCCUGUUUGGAGGGCAGGUGUCUGCCAAUAGAGGCAGAAGCUUCUCUUUGAAAUGGAGAGUGUAAACCCCCCUCCCUCCAAAUUAUUAUUAUAAUUUUGAAAUUAAGGGGCUCUCAGGCAAAGAUAUGGGAAAUAGGAAUAACAGUUAUUUACUAGGAAAAUUAAAAUAGAAAUGCAGUAUUACACAGAGCAAUCCCAAACCCUGCCAGAGUCAGAAUCCAAGCUGACACCCGUCAGUCAGUCAGGGUGUUGGCAGCAGUCCCAUCCAAUGGUGGCUGCAUCCUCCUGCAGGGGCAGAUGUGGUUCAGCUG